GGCUCUUUCUUGGGGUUUGGGGGUUUGUUGCAGUUCUCAAAGCGACGGCAGGGGCUUCGUGUGAGCGCGAGCUCGUGCCUCGUUAUCCUUUCAUCCCGUUACUGCUGGCUGAGGAGGGAGGGCCAAGGGUGUCUUUCAUGGAUUUAGUUUUUAAGAGAUGCUUUUGCUGCCCGACAGGUUUAAUUAAUAGGAUAAAUCUUUCAUUUAUUGUUCUUUUCAAAGUGCCGUUUCAGCACUGGGAAUGUAACGCGCUCGUCAUGGCAGAGCCGGUGCCGGCGGCGGCUGAGCAGCCCUGGAGCUGGGGAAAAAGGAGGAGAGCGCGGCUGGAAACUGGGCGCUGCUGCAGCGAAAGACGCUUUGGUGCUCAUCUGCUUCCAAGAGCGAAGGUUCGGACUCACCAUCACCGCGCCGGCUCCCACUGCCGAUAACGACCGGGAAAGACCCGAUACCCAACGGAUCGGUAAGACCUCUUGCUUUCCCAUUUAACUAAUCGUUUUAAAACCUGCUUUAUUUUUGUUUGCCUUAGUUUCCUCGCUGCUCCGUUUCCCCAGCGCCCGCCGCCUCCCUCCUGCCAGCACUCUUCCCCCGCCGCGGUGGCUCGGAGAGACGGCGUGGGUGUGCGCUCAAUGAGCGCCGAGCGCCCGUUUCCUCUGCGGGAGCGCCGGAGGUGACAGCAGUGUGUCAUCAGCCACCCUAUUCCUGGGAGCAGGAGCUCGGGCUCUUCUCCCAACGCUGGAUUUCAUUCUCUCGCAGGCGACGGGUGGCUGGAGGAUGCGAUUUUCCCCUGUAUCCUCCUCCGCUCGCUGCUCCGGGACCAGGAUGGGAUCGGGCACCGCCGGGGUUGUGCGAGGACUUUGCUUGCGUCCUGCCAGGCAGAGCCUGAGCCCACGGAGCUGAUGGGAUAGGAGGGAGAAGCCCAUCCAGCCGCGGGCUCGUGAUGGCCGCGGGUUAUCAGCGUUCCCGGAUAACGGAGGAGCUGCGCUGCCUCCGCCACGAAUCCACGGGAUCAUUUUGCUCAGGUUUGGCACCGGCAUGACGGGAGCAGAUGGCAGGGAUGGAGGAGCGCACGGCGCUGACGGCACCCGGAUCGCUGCGCCCCCCUGGUCCCCAUCCCCAACACCCCCGGGAUCCACGGAUGCGGCCUCGGCAGGGAUGCUGGUGCCAUGGGGGGCAGCCGGUGCCGGGGGGGCUGUCUGUCUGUCUGUCCAGGCCUUGGGCUGGUUCCCCAUCCAGGGGUGCAGGGCUCUAUCCCAAGGGAUGCAGGAAUCUCUCCCCCAUCCCAAAGGAUGCAAGGGUCUGUCCCCCAUUCCAAGGGAUGCAGGGCUCUGUGCCUCCAUUCCAAGGGGUGCAGAGGUCUGUCCCUCAUCCCAAGG